AAAAAGAACUGGGGGUAAGAGCCCCUCUGCCUAGCACUGCUCCCCCCAGGCUCCCAGAAAUCUCAGGUCAGAGGCACGGACAGCCUCUGGAGCUCUCUUCUGGUGGGACCAUGAACUGCCAGCAGCUGUGGCUGGGCUUCCUACUCCCCAUGACAGUCUCAGGCCGGGUCCUGGGGCUUGCAGAGGUGGCGCCCGUGGACUACCUGUCACAAUAUGGGUACCUACAGAAGCCUCUAGAAGGAUCUAAUAACUUCAAGCCAGAAGAUAUCACCGAGGCUCUGAGAGCAGAAGAGAAAGUCCCAGUUAUGAGGACUGGAGGCUGGAGUAACCCUGUCAGCUUCAGGGAUUCUGUGCUAUUCUUGGCCAUGAACUUGGGCAGCAGGAAGUCAAAGAGCAAUCAUCUCCCAGUCAUUUCAGAUUUUCCUGUCCUGGUAGACCCAUCCCUCUCCCUCCUUCAGAGCUUUUCAGGAAGCAUCUGAACUUCCAGUCUCAGGUCAGCUGGAUGAUGCCACAAGGGCCCGCAUGAGGCAGCCUCGUUGUGGCCUAGAGGAUCCCUUCAACCAGAAGA
rnacentral:sRNA from 1 species